AGUGAACGCUGGCGGUAGGCCUAACACAUGCAAGUCGAACGGCAGCACAGUAAGAGCUUGCUCUUACGGGUGGCGAGUGGCGGACGGGUGAGGAAUACAUCGGAAUCUACUUUUUCGUGGGGGUUAAGGAAGGGAAAUUUACCUAAUUACCGCAUCUCCCCUAGGGUGGAAGGCGGGGGACCUUCGGACCUGCCGGGUUUGAAUUCGCGGUUUCGGAGUAGGUUGUUGGCGGGGUAAAGGCCCACCCAAGCGACGGUUCGUAGCUGGGCUGGGGGGAUGAGCAGCCACACUGGAACUGAGACACGGUCCAGACACCUACGGGAGGCAGCAGUGGGGAAUAUUGGACAAUGGGCGCAAGCCUGAUCCAGCCAUACCGCGUGGGUGAAGAAGGCCUGCGGGUUGUAAAGCCCUUUUGUUGGGAAAGAAAAGCAGCAGGUUAAUACCCCGCUGUUCUGACGGUACCCAAAGAAUAAGCACCGGCUAACUUCGU
rnacentral:rRNA from 1 species